CAUGACACUGAAGCGUGUACGGAUGGAAAGUUGAAGCCUUCCGUUCCGCUAGUGUGCCAUGCAA
rnacentral:pre_miRNA from 1 species